UUCUGGUGUCUUGCUUGUCGGUGGCAGAGCCAUGCUUGCCGGCAUUUGCUUAGGCGGCCAUAGUAGUUGCUAAGUGUACAGGUGACUGGGCAGGGAUGGGAGGUGGCCACAGGUCAGAGACAAGUGCUCAGUCAGUCCCUGGUGCCAGGACUGUGUGCCUCGGUGCCUUGGGAAAUGGAAGCUCCCUGGUGCAGCUGCAGCUGUGGGUGGAGGUAGAGAAGCCAGCAAGACCUUGGUCUUAACCCCGUGUUCAUUUUCUUGCUAGCUGUGUGACGUUGGGCUACCUCGCUUCUCUGAGUACAAAUGGUGUGUGGUGAAUGGGUCCCAGGUAUGCUACGAGCUUUGAGGGCUGCUCUUUUUCUCUUCAUAGCGAUAAGUGUUAAACUGUCUUUCUUAGGAAACGUUCACAGACUUGCAACAGCUGAUGUCCUCUGAGUACUGUCUGACUCCCUCAGGCAAGUUCCUGAAUUCAGUACCAUCAUUAUUAUUUUUGUGUAAGACUUUGACAAAGUAUAGCCCCUGCCACCAGAGCAGCCUGUACAGUGGGUCUCUAAGGUGGGACCUGCCCCGGGCCUGCCAUGCACGUGUGUGAAACAGCGUGAAAAGUGUCGCGGUAAGGUGACCCUGGGUUACCCAGGCAAGGCUCGGUGUUUGUUUCAGAAAGCAGAGAAGUAUGUAAUUGAUUUUAAAAGUUUCUGUUUAAAAUAUUUGGCUAUGUUUUAGACUAUGAAGGAAUGAACUUUGCUUCUCUGGAUAAGAAAGUCACAUACAUUGUUCCAGCUCCAAGUUUGUUCGGCCCUCGCCACAAGUGGAUGUAGCGUUUGGCCCUUUGUG
rnacentral:lncRNA from 1 species